rnacentral:rRNA from 1 species
GGCUAGCACGCUGGCGGCAGGCUUACACAUGCAGUCGAACGGUAACAGGAGAAAGCUUGCUUCUUUGCUGACGAGUGGCGGACGGGUGAGUAAUGCUUGGGAAUCUGCCUGAUGGAGGGGGAUAACUACGGGAAACUGUCGCUAAUACCGCGUAACGUCGCAAGACCAAAGUGGGGGACCUUCGGGCCUCUUGCCAUAGGAUGAGCCCAGAUGGGAUUAGGUAGUUGGUGGGGUAAUGGCUCACCAAGGCGACGAUCCCUAGCUGGUCUGAGAGGAUGACCAGCCACACUGGGACUGAGACACGGCCCAGACUCCUACGGGAGGCAGCAGUGGGGAAUAUUGCACAAUGGGGGCAACCCUGACGCAGCCAUGCCGCGUGAAUGAAGAAGGCCUUCGGGUUGUAAAGUUCUUUCCGCGGUGAGGAAGGGAGGAAGUUUAAUAGAUUUGCUCAUUGACGUUAACCGCAGAAGAAGCACCGGCUAACUCCCGUGCCAGCCCGCCCGCGGGUAAA